UACGGAGGGGGCUAGCGUUAUUCGGAAUUAUUGGGCGUAAAGCGCGUGUAGGCGGCAUGGCAAGUCGGGUGUGAAAGCCCUCAGCUUAACUGAGGAAGUGCGCCCGAAACUGCCGUGCUUGAGUGCCGGAGAGGGUGGCGGAAUUCCCCAAGUAGAGGUGAAAUUCGUAGAUAUGGGGAGGAACACCGGUGGCGAAGGCGGCCACCUGGACGGUAACUGACGCUGAGACGCGAAAGCGUGGGGAGCAAACAGG
rnacentral:rRNA from 1 species